rnacentral:rRNA from 1 species
UACGUAGGCAGCGAGCGUUGUUCGGAGUUACUGGGCGUAAAGGGCGCGUAGGUGGCGCGAGAAGUCAACGGUGAAAGUUCAGGGCUCAACCCUGAAUCGGCCGUCGAUACUCUCGGGCUCGAGCACUGUAGAGGCAGGUGGAAUUCCGGGUGUAGCGGUGGAAUGCGUAGAGAUCCGGAAGAACACCGGUGGCGAAGGCGGCCUGCUGGGCAGUUGCUGACACUGAGGCGCGACAGCGUGGGGAGCAAACAGG